ACUGAUGGAUGGUGUUUGAAGGUAUAGAAGCUCCUAAACAAAGAAAUAGUCGGCCGAACUUCGACUAAACUACAAAGGGAAAGAAACCCUAUCAAAAACCUAAAGGAGUUCAGCACAGCGGAGGCUAGAGAAAUGUUCAGAAAAUGAAAGAGAGCAACAACAAAGGACAGCAGUGGGAGCCGAAGUCUGGCACGGAAGGCCUCCUGGUACAGACAGAAGCGAC
rnacentral:lncRNA from 1 species